AGGUAUUCCAGAUAACACAUGACAUGUUGUAGAGUAAUUGUACUAAUAUUUCUGGCUGGCUAAUAGAAGUUGCAGGAGAAAAUGCACUUCACAACUUUUGGAUAAGAAACUAAAAGCGUCUGGACUGGCUACACAUUACCCUUAAUGCAGUUCCUUUUUCCUGGCGGCAAUACAACGUCUCUGAUUCAUGGGUUGCAGGACAGUGGUGGUGAAAUCACUGGAGCUCACUGUCCUUUGGCACUACCAGAGAGCUGCUCUAAGCAGAGGAAUUACCUUUCAGUGGAGAAUGCCAUCCCUGACUUUGGCUUUUGAGCAUCCACAAGGUCUGUAAGACAGUUCGGCAAGAAGGCAACGGAGUGACAAUCAUCUCCACCAUGUUCAGCUCAUAGAAACACUCCAGUAACAGAUGCCACAAGUUGCCUUGACAUUUUCCCAUACAGAAAAUGAUAAAUUCCAGAAUGGAAACUGCGGCGUUUGGUGAAAUAAUGGAGCUUCUGUUUCUCCGCUGCUGUCAGAAAUGGAAAUUCAGCACAAUCUUUUCAUCAGCUUGAAAUGCCACAUCAGAUUAAAAGCCCUGAUGCCAAGUGGAGGGCAUCUGAUACAUUGCCUUGAGCUGUGCUUCUUAAUGCUUUUCAGUCCACCACUUUGUAAAAGCACCUCCACCUUCGUGUUACUCCCCUCAUUAGAGCAGUGCAAACGUGAACGAAUUAACAGAGGUUAAGAUCUUCUGGAAAUAGCUUUGCUUGAGCAAUCUCAAGUCUGCUAUAGGGCUGCCAGGGCAAAAGGGUCACCUCAAGGAGGGAAGCACUCCAGCAGGGAUGUAAACUGGAACUCAUUGGUGCAUGCAGCAUGCUCCAUGGCCACAUAAAUCAGACAUCGAGACCUCUGUAUGGGAGAGCGAGCAGUGUUCAGUUUGGUUCCUACUACCCCUGGUUGCCGGAGUUGGGUAUUUGAAUGGGGGAGAGUGGUCAUACCAGAUCCAUUUGGUGCACCAGCCAGGCUAAUUAACACUCCAUGAGCUGUAGAAGCAGCCAGGAAGCACCAGAGAGCAGUGCAUAUGAAUCACUGAUCUCUUGAUCUUAGACUUCUCAAAAGUUGCGACAAUGAAGCUGGGUGUGAGUAACAUGCCCAUUGUGGCCAAUUGUUGUCCAAGGAAGCCACUGCCAUCCUGCUUAGACACCAUCUCAUUAUGAAAUCUUUACAUUUCACACACACGUGGAGUGCAUGCUAUGAAGUGCUGUCAUAAUGAAAUAAUGGAGAAUCAAAUGGAAAAAUGUGUGUUUGAGCACUGAAAGCUAGACUUGUAGACCACAGAACAGACUUCACAAGUAGAGGUCAAGGUGGCACCAAUUAGGACAAGAUUAUAUUUAAUGGAGAGUCACCUGGAUUGAAUUAAGCGUAUUUUCUUGGACAUAGCAGGCUGGAAUCAGGAUAAACAAACUGCUCUAGAAUUCCUAGGUGACCUUCCAAUAAUUAUGACCAAAUUUGAGUUUCUAGUCUUCUCAGGCCCCAAAUUAUCUUUUAUAUAAGAAUGCACAUUGCUACUCGGGAGGUCUGUUUGUUGUGAUGAACAGAGCAUAAAACAAAUCUCUCACACACAGUACUGCAGGUGGAGGCUGCAAAGCAGUUUCUCCAACCAAAAGAGCUAAUGGGCCUCCAGUGUAAAACACAUUUUUGUAACUCUUUUUCUUCGGACUUUCUUCUUUGUUGUGAGAAAUGCAAUGCCAAAAGAACUUAACUGCUCUGUUUUCCAGUGCAUAAACUGCUGAUAAGUCACUGGUGUUGUAGUUAAGCAUACAUGUCCACCAGAGUAAAAGCUCAUGCUACAAUUAAGCGCUGGGGCCACUGCUUUUAUUUUUGUCACAAAUUCUAUUGUUGUAUAUCUGAAAUAUGAAACUGUACCUCUUCAUGGGAAUACAGAAUAAACCGUGAUGCAGAUACUGCUCAGCCUUGCAGGUUCAAUCUGUGGCAUCUUUGCCCCUUGUGUAGAGAGAAUGUCUAUGAGAGGAAGAGGUCAUAGAAUUAGGUUGAAUCUAAUCCAAUUUUUUUGCAAGUCUUGCACUGUAUAAGCUACUCGUUCACAUUAAGAGGAACAUUGGUCAACGGGUUUUCACCACAAAAGAGUUUCUUUUGAAAAAUACAUUUGUGGAAUGAGCUCUGCUUAUCCAUCCAGGGCAUUUCAAUGCAUAUUUAGUAAACCCGUGAACGUUUUCAGAUCCCAAAUGAGCCUGCAUCAAUUCUUU
ensembl:lncRNA